GUGCAGUGUUGGGGUGCAUGGAACAGCCUUUUCAGUGUGGCUCGGCAUCAGUAGAACUUCUCCCCUGAAUGUGUCUUUCAGAUGCCAGACCUACCUGCAGAUCAAAGGAGAUUCAUAAUGUCCUGUGCUGAAGGCUGUACCAUGAUGUUCUUUUCACAGUUCAUAAGCAGGAACAAAUAAGAUGCUGGUAAAUGAGCUAGCAGGAAGCAGCUCUGACAGAUAACUGAGCUUUACUGGGCAUCCUUUCAACUCAUUUAAUUUGAAUCGUACCACAAGUUAGGUGAUAGCCCAAUUGGCAAGAGAAUGACACAGACACGGACUGAUUUUUUGCAACAGCUGUAUAACUCUGCUGACUUCCAAUACCUGAAGAUGCCAGGGACUGAACAUGGGACCUUCUGCACACAAAGCAGAUGCUCUACCACUGAACUAUGGCCCUUCCAUCAUAUAUAAAAGCACAACCAGAGCACAGUUGUAUCUCAUAUAGGUAAAUUUGUUUUAUUGUGAGGAACCUGUUGAAAGGUAGUCCACAUGGAAAACCUCAUCCUAAGCAAGGGAGGAGAGAAGAGGCAGGACUGGAGAAGAAGUUAGGAGUCAUGGCUGGAGAGUAACUAGGACUGGAAAGCAAACUGAAAGGCAGGAUCCUAGAACAAGAAAGACAAAAUACCACCUACACAGGAAGUCCUCUUAUACUUCUUCCUGCCCUGGAGGAAUCCGUGGUUAGCAUUGCAGGCAGGAGCUCUGCUCAAAACAACCCUACACAAGCUGGUUUUUCAUUCACAGCUGGGAAGAUGCAUGACAAUGGUAUGGACCCCAUAUCUUUUCCCUUUAUGUGUCAGGCACCUGCAUUCAUGCACCAGGUAAUAGACAAGAGGGUGAUGUGGAUGCCGCCUAGAAUGUGCUCUCGCCUACCAGCUGGGGAAAUCAGGUUGCUUCCAUCAAUGCAGCUAUAGGCACACCACCUGCUGUUGUGCAGACAGUGCAGCAGAUCCAGGUAUAUGUGCCUUAUACCAGGCCAGAUCUGGCCCAGUAUUGUCUACUCUGACUGGCAGCAGCACUCCAGGGUCUCAGGCCAAGGUAUUUCAUAUCCUACUUGACCUUUGAACUGAUAGAGGAUUAUCACCACAUGACUGCUGGAGGAAGUACUACUAUUGCAUGUCGUGAAUAGUUUAAUUGUAUUUUAAUUGUAUAUUUUUGUAUGCUUUUAAUCAUAUGUUGU